rnacentral:lncRNA from 1 species
GUGUUCAUGGCUCUCUGCACCUAAUGUAUCUUUGCAAUAAUCUCAUUUUUUCUCAUUGUACAGGGCAGGACUCUCAUUUCCAUGAAACCGACAUAUCAUAUGGAGAAUAUCAUGAACAAUGAUGGCGUGAUGAACGCUAAAGAGGUAGGAAGAGGCAGACUCCCUAUUCUGGUGGUAGAGCAGAGUACAGACCCUGA